rnacentral:misc_RNA from 1 species
UCAAACUUGGUCAUUUAGAGGAAGUAAAAGUCGUAACAAGGUUUCCGUAGGUGAACCUGCGGAAGGAUCAUUACUGAAGUUGCUGUGCACUCUUUCAAACUCUCACAAACUUCCUUCUCACCCCCUUGUGCACACUUGGUAGAGGCCUCCCCGAGGGAGAAGACUCUAUGUUUUUGUUUUUUGCUACACACACGAGAUUUUGAAUGUACAUGCUUAUGGCAAUAUCAGAAAGAAACAACUUUCAACAAUGGAUCUCUUGGCUCUCGCAUCGAUGAAGAACGCAGC